CCUUUAGUGAUAUGGGGCAGACUGGGGGAGGAGCAGAUUUGUGGGGAUGGGGGGUAAUCAAGAGUUUUUACUUUUAAGUUUGUUAUGUUUGAAAGCCAGUGAGGCAUACAAGUGGAAAUGAAAGGGGUAGUUGGACAUAGUGUAAUGGAUGGUAUUUAAAGUCUUGACAGUGAACAACAUUAUCCAGUGACUGAGUAUAGAGAAAGGACUUGAGAAGCUCUGGGGCAUUCUACUAGUAAUGUUCAGAGGCUGGAGAUGAGGAGCCAACAAAGGAAAUUAAAAAGGCAUGGCCAAUGAGGUAGGGGAGAACAAAGAAAAUAGUGUCUCAGAAGCUUGAGUGAAGAAUAUUUCAAGGAGGGGGUGUUUACUUGAACUAAAGUUCCUUCUCCGCAACUGAGGCCCAGGGCUGAGGGGUUCUGCUUCUCAAGGCCAUUCAUCUCCCAAAGCAGUGAGCCCUAAGCAAAGGCUAAUCCCAUUUCCAAGGCACCCCCUUCUACACCCGAGGGAGGCACUUACAGAGGUUCAGACUCCCAGAAACAUCUACGUGGCUGUGCUGAGCAAAGGGAAGCCCCGGAUGCUAAAUGAUCACAUAGCCAGCUGGGCCCAAAUGAAGAGGGUGUCUUCCUUGGAGCAGUUAGGGAAGAGGACAACUGCCCAAACCCCUGGCACAUCCCUGCUGGCAAAGGUGCACUGCUGUGCUGAUGGUGGUCAUUGGGCAGCGGAAAAGGAAUCCUGACCUCAGUUCUGCCAUCUGGCUGGCUUUUGGCCUGUGGCCACAUGGACCAGACUGUUGGUAGGUUCAGUGUCACUUCUGUUCAUGCAAGGUCUAAGCCCUGGGUAUUCUAAGAGCAUGGUGCCCACAAGUUCAAGAAGGAAACCAGAGGGAAAGGUAUUAAUGGUACUAAGACAUUUAUUACAUCAUAAAAAGUCCACUGUUGUCGUUUUUCCAUAUGUACAUGUUCCUGUGGGCAGUCCCCCUGUCCAGCCCCAUCUGCCCACCCUCAAUGCCAAUCAGCUCUCCAAACUGACCAACAAA